GCUUAGAGAGGGGUCAAUGUCCUAUCAGCUAGUUGGUAGGGUAAUGGCCUACCAAGGCUAAGACGGGUAGCCGGCCUGAGAGGGUGGUCGGCCACACUGGGACUGAGACACUGCCCAGACUCCUACGGGAGGCUGCAGUCGAGAAUCUUUCGCAAUGCCCGAAAGGGUGACGAAGCGACGCCGCGUGUGGGAAGAAGGCCUUCGGGUUGUAAACCACUGUCGGGAGUUAAGAAAUGUAAGGGUGUUGAUAGCAUCCUUACUUGACUAAGGCUCCGGAGGAAGCCACGGCUAACUCUGUGCCAGCAGCCGCGGUAAUACAGAGGCGGCAAGCGUUGUUCGGAAUUAUUGGGCGUAAAGAGCACGUAGGCGGCCUUGUAAGUCAGUUGUGAAAGCCUUCUGCUUAACGGAAGAACAGCAUCUGAUACUGCAAGGCUAGAGUACGGAAGGG
rnacentral:rRNA from 1 species